rnacentral:rRNA from 1 species
UACGUAGGAGGCAAGCGUUGUCCGGAAUUACUGGGCGUAAAGCGCGUGUAGGUGGUGGGACAAGUCUGCUGUGAAAGCGCCUGGCUUAACCGGGCGAGGUUGGCGGAAACUGUUCGACUCGAGGACGGUAGAGGGGGGUGGAAUUCCCGGUGUAGUGGUGAAAUGCGUAGAGAUCGGGAGGAACACCUGUGGCGAAGGCGGCCCCCUGGGCCGGCCCUGACACUGAGACGCGAAGGCGUGGGGAGCGAACGGG